rnacentral:rRNA from 1 species
UACGGGGGGAGCAAGCGUUGUUCGGAUUUACUGGGCGUAAAGGGCGCGUAGGCGGCGCAACAAGUCACUUGUGAAAUCUCCGGGCUUAACCCGGAGCGGCCAAGUGAUACUGUCGUGCUAGAGUGCGGAAGGGGCUACUGGAAUUCUCGGUGUAGCGGUGAAAUGCGCAGAUAUCAGGAGGAACACCGGUGGCGAAGGCGGAUCUCUGGGCCGAUACUGACGCUGAGGAGCGAAAGCGUGGGGAGCAAACAGG